UGAGCAUAAAAAUUAACUGGAAUGUUUGCCUACCAGCCCACUUCAGAGACCAGUGAGGGGACACAGGGAACAACCUAAAGCAAGAAAUGGACCUGGUGUUGCAUUUUGUUUGUGGUAUCUUCAAAACAUAAACAGGUCAGGGGAAAACAGCUGCCAAGAUCUGAGAAGGAACCGAGCCUUCCCAAAGAGGUGCUCAGGGUGAAGAGACUGAGAGCUCUGCUGUUCUGUGGAGUGCUUUGGGCAGGGGGAGGAGCGAACUCUCCCAGCACAUCAACAGAUGGACAGAUGGACCAGGAUGUACUCAGAGUCCACGAGACCUUUUAUGCAGACAGGACCAGGGUUCUGUCACCACACGAAGUUACCUUCUCUUCCUUUUGCCGAGUAAAAACAUCAUCACCUUACCUGCUUACUACCUGUCUCCCUCAUCAUUUCACAAGAAAAGACGCUAUCACAAAGGAAGGCAGGAAGGAUAUAAGCUGAGAAGAAAAGAGUUUUUGCCAGUGACCUUCCCUGUGCUGACAAAGGAUGCUCCUCCGCUUUUAUGGUGCGGUGCUGCUCUUAACUUGUGAAAACAUGGGAACAGUCUUGCCCUUCGUGGACAGAUAUUUGGGAACUGCAUCGACGGAGCAGAGGGCAUCGUCCCUAUAGAUGGAUGGCCUUGAGUUUGGCUUUUUGACACUUAUCUACCCGCUGUGUAAUCAAGAAAACAUGAGACUAUACACUCUGAGCUGCAAUCCUUCAUUUGGUAAAGAUUUGCCAUGACACUAAGACAAUUCACACACAUGCUAUAUGCCAUCAUCUUCUGCCUUAUGUGGGACCCGAGACAAACUCCUGUCAUAGACAUUGUGGUUUAUUUUGAUCCUAAGAUCAAAAAUUGUGGUUCUGGCUUUUUAGUAUGAGGUCUAGCAGACUCUGUAAUUUGAUCUGGAAUCCUAAGUUUACAACAAAUUCAGUUCUUAUUCUCUCUCUCUCUCAGCAUGUCCUUGCUUUUUUUUUUUUUUUUUUGUCCCAUGCUUAGUUUUCAAUCUUUAAAUCCAUGUCAGCAGGUCACAUUUUGCACCAGGCAAUAGUAAAGCAAGGUGGAUGGAUGGAGGGCUGGAAGAGGGUGGGAGUGUUCCUGAGAAACAGGCCAGGCAAGGGUUAAGGGCAGCUACUGAAGUGCUGAGGACUUUGCCAAUAGGACUACAGAAGAAUUUAUGCACAGCAAGAAUCCUGGGCUUCUUGACUCAAUAGGUAAAUGCUGAAAGGGACUGAAGCAUAAGCGUAUCUGGCAUACAAGAAGGCCAUUUCCAUUUGGAUUCAAAGCACAUGAGAUAUAGGCUCCAAAGGGCUACUUCCCAGCUGGGUUAGCUCAACAUUUACCUUCACGUUCGACUGACUGAUUGAUGGAGUGUGUGUGUGUGUGUGUGUGUGUGUGUGUGUGUGUGUGUGCGCGCGCUAGAAAUCUGUUCUCUCCUUCUCCCAUGUGGUUCUUGGGGACUGAACACAGCCACAUGCUUUUAACCGCUCAGCCAUCUUGCUGAUAUCAUGUGUGACAAGUUGAGCCAAUCAUUUAAACUCGCAGAGACACAACCUUUUAAACUGUUAAACAAAGGCAGCAGCACAUACUUCUCGAGCUGGCUGAGAAAGCAGAUGGGAGAGGCGGAGUGAAGAAAACCUAGAAACUACAAUAUGAUUCCUGUCAUGUGAUGGGUAAUCAAAACGACUAUUAGCAGAAUCUGAAUAUCAUAGAAAAUAUUUUUGUUGAUGAUCUACAUACGAUAAUCCCUGCUAUGUUUUCUUAUCACUAAAGUCUUAUCUAUAAAACCUGGAUACUAAAUUAUAAAUAGUUCUCUGCAAGUAUGAUUAUUUUGCUCACAAACAUUUGCCUUGUCAUUUAAUGUGGAUUAAAGGAUAUAGCCAUAAAUUGUUGCCAAGGACUUAGUGAUAUCACAGCACAGAGCUAUCGAUUUUCAGACGGACCUUCCUCUCCACAUUUGUAAUUGAAGACUAUCAUUGGCAAAUCCCCUGAGCUUUUGUUUAACUUCAUAUAGUCCUGUAUUUAAAAUGUAGGUUUAUCAAGGCUUUUGGUGGCUUGCCUUUAUUCUUUUGAGACAGGGUCUUCAUGGAGCCUCGGCCUUGAGCUGGCUACGUAGCCGAACUCCUGAUCUUCCUGCCUCCACCUCCCUAGUUGUGGGGUUACAGCAUGUGACUCAAUAGCCCACUACUGCUGCUUCUUUUUUGUUAAUGUAUUCCUCAAAGAGUCACACGUAUUGUAGCAUCGUCCACACUCCCUUCAUUUUUAUGGCCACACCAAAUCCAGUUGAAUGAAUUUAUCACAUUUUAUCCACCAACUCGACACUUAAAGGUAAUUUGGAUGGUUUCCUCCAUUUAAUUAUUAAGGGAUGCUGCCAUGAAUACUUGUGCACAGCUUUUAUUUCUUUUAAGAACAGGCUGGUGGGUGUGAUUCUGGCUCUGAUAUGGUUCCACUGAACUUUCUCAGGUAUGGGAGACAACCUCCUGUGUGGUCCUAUUGACUCUCCAUCACAUCAGCAGUUGUACGAAGGCUUUGACUUCCCUGCAUUCUCAGCCACACGCAUUAGGAUUUGGCUUUAACAUGUAUGAAUGACAUCUUGUGAUUUGGUUCACCUUCAUCCAAUGGCAUUGACGCUAGCCGUCCGUCCAUGUGUUACUUGGAUAUUUACACGUACGUGCUGAUCAGUAUCUAGUCAGGUCCUUUUGUCAUAUUUUAACUGGACUGAGAUUUAAGUCACAAGUCAUUUAUCAGAUAUGUGGCCUGCAUUUCCCCUCUCUCUGUGCUUCCUCGUACUUUCUUGCUAGUACCCUUUGAAGCAGAAAACUUUUUUAAUUUAUGAAGUUCAGUUUGCCUGGUUUCCCCUUUUGGUGCCUCUCUCUUUCUCUGUCUCCCUAUCUCUCUCUGUCCCUCUCUCUGAGGUUGAAUCAAAGAACCCAGUGUCAGAUCCAAAGUAACUGAACUUAAAUUUUUCUCUAAAAGUUUUUCUCAUUUUAGCAUUUAUAUGUGAGGUACUUAACCACUUUUAACUUAAUUUCAUUCAUGCUGUGAAGAGUCCAGGCUCUUCUGGGCGGCUCUUCACUCGCUCUAGCACAAUUUUCAGAGAAGAAUAUUGCUCCCCCACCAAUUUCUUCCACACUUUCUGAGCCAGCUUACCACAACCAUCUGGGUCAAACUCCAGAGUCCAAACUUUAUCCCAUUGAUGUAUUUGUCCUUAUAAUGGCCACAUUCUUUGCUUGCUCUUUCUUUCUAAUGAGUUUUGAAAUCAGGAAAAAUGGACUGUGAAUAUAAAUUAUCCUCAUUCCUUCUUCUUUCCCUGAUGGUUUAGCUAUCUAUGGGCCUAUGAAUUUCCACGUAAAGUUGAAGUUCAACCUAUCACUUUCUACAAAGCAGCAAAUGACACUCUGAUAUGGUGCUCAAGCUGCAAAUCAAUUCGGGAAGUGCAGAUGUCUUCAAAUCAUGAAGGCUCACAGCCCACAGACAGUCCACCUACAGACAGCCUGCAGCCCUUCCAUUUACAGCUUGCAUAUAAUUUUUUCAAUAUUUCAGUUUUUAGACAACAUGUUUUUCAACUUUUUUAGUUCAUAUUUAAAAUUUAAAAUUUUUAAAUAUUUAGAAAUAUUUUUUAAAUUUCUUUAAUUUUAUUUUUUAUGUGCCUUAGUGUGAAGGUGUCAGAUCCCUUGGACCUGGAGUUACAGACAGUUGUGAGCUGCCAUGUGGGUGCUGGGAAUUGAACACGGGUCCAUUUGUAAGAGCAGGUGGUGCUUUUAACCACUGAGCCAUCUCCCCAGCCCCAGAAAUAUUAAAAAAAAUAUUUCUUUGAUGCUAUAUUACACAAUUCAUUUUAUUUCCUUUUCAUUCUUGCAAAUUUGUGGAAUGCACUUGUUAGUUUUAAUAGUUUCGUUUUGAGUCUUAAAUUAUGUUUUUGUAUUAAAAAAAUUAUAUCACACACAAAGAGAACUAGUUCGACUUUCUCCUCUGGAUGACUUUAACCUCAUUUGUUCUUGCCUAAUUGUCCUUGUGGGCAAUUAGCAGGAGUGUAAACACUUAGCAGGAGUGGGAGAAGUGGGGAUGGCUGUUCUGGUUCUGAUCUUAGUCAGUCAUCCACUGCUUAGUCAGCUGUCAGCUGUGGCUGGGUACAGAUUCCCUUUUUCUAGUUCAGGAAGUUUCUCUCUAUUUUUCUAUUCUAUUCUGUUCUAUUUCUAUUCUAUUACUGUCAUGUUUUCUUUCUUUCAUAAAAUGGUGCUGGGUUUCACCAAACACUUUUUCUGCACCUAGGAAUACAAUCUCAUGGUUUUUCUUAUUCUGUCAGCAUAAACCAUGACACUAUUUAAUUUCUGGAUAUUAACAUAAUCUUACAUUCCCAUUAAAAUUCCUUCUUCAUCUUUGUGUAUAAUUGUUUUUAAACAGUUCCUGAGCACUUUUGGAUUAAUAUUUACGUAAAUGUUGAUCUGAAGCUUUGUUUCCUCAUGACACCUUUGCCUGAUUUUGGUGCCAGGGACUUGCUGGCUCAUGCAGUGAGCUAGGUGGGUUGGUCCUUUCUCUAAGUUAUGGACAGGUUUGUGAACGUUUAGUAUUAGUUCUUCUUUAAAUGUUUUGGUAGAAGUCACUUGUGAACUAACCCUUCCAGAGAAAUUCUAACGUUAUGAAAUUAUUUGUUUAGUAUUAUUUCAAUUUGAAAUAUCUAGGGUAAAUUUUGUUUUAUAAGAAUUUGUAUGGGCUGGAGAGAUGGCUCAGCGGUUACGUACACUAGCUGUUGUUCUAGAGGUCCUCGGUUCAAUUCCCAGCAACCACAUGGUGGCUCAGAACCAUCUAUAGCGAGAUCUGGUGCCCUCUUCUGGCCUGCAGGUGUACGUGCAGGCAGAAUACUGUGUAAAUAAUAAAAAAUAAAUCUUUAAAAAUUUUUGCGAAA